rnacentral:misc_RNA from 1 species
AAUAAUUACAUUUAUAAUAGUACACCUAUAAUCAACCCAACACUGAAAAGUUAAUAAUUACAUGAAAGAAAGGAAAACAUCAUACAACUUUUGUAAUGAAUUUCUCACAGCUUUUUCAUAGGAGAUAACACAAAUAAAGAACCAUUUCAAAAGAAUAUUUACCAUGAAAUUAUUUUACAAGGAUUAAGAACGUUAAACUAGGCCAAUAGCCAAUUAGCAUUUCAAACCAC